rnacentral:sRNA from 1 species
GCCCUCUGUUCUUAGGGACCACGGGAUCAUUCGAACUCUGGAUUUACCCAUCUAUGUCACACGGGUGAAGGGCAACAAUGUAUACUGCCUAGACAGGGAGUGUCGUCCCCGGGUACUCACCAUUGAUCCCACUGAGUUCAAAUUCAAGCUGGCCCUGAUCAACAGAAAAUAUGAUGAGGUACUGCACAUGGUGAGGAAUGCCAAACUAGUUGGCCAGUCUAUUAUUGCUUAUCUCCAGAAGAAGGGCUAUCCUGAAGUGGCACUGCAUUUUGUCAAGGAUGAGAAAACUCGCUUUAGUCUGGCACUGGAGUGUGGAAACAUUGAGAUUGCUCUGGAAGCAGCCAAAGCACUGGAUGACAAGAACUGCUGGGAAAAGCUGGGAGAAGUGGCCCUGCUGCAGGGGAACCACCAGAUUGUGGAAAUGUGCUAUCAGCGUACCAAAAACUUUGACAAACUUUCCUUCCUGUAUCUUAUCACUGGCAACUUAGAAAAACUUCGCAAGAUGAUGAAGAUUGCUGAGAUCAGAAAGGACAUGAGUGGCCACUAUCAGAAUGCCCUAUACCUGGGUGAUGUGUCAGAGCGUGUGCGGAUCCUGAAGAACUGUGGACAGAAGUCCCUGGCCUAUCUCACAGCUGCUACCCAUGGCUUAGAUGAAGAAGCUGAGAGCCUAAAGGAGACAUUUGACCCAGAGAAGGAGACAAUCCCAGACAUUGACCCUAAUGCCAAGCUGCUCCAGCCACCUGCACCUAUCAUGCCAUUGGAUACCAAUUGGCCUUUAUUGACUGUAUCCAAAGGAUUUUUUGAAGGCACCAUUGCCAGCAAAGGGAAGGGAGGAGCACUGGCUGCGGACAUUGACAUUGACACUGUUGGUACAGAGGG